CCGGGGCAUCCCGGAGGCAGGAAAGGCUUCGGCCGGACAGGGAUGGGCAUGCGGCGCAUUAGGCAGUAGGCGGGGUAACGGCCCACCUAACCGACGAUGCGUAGGGGUUCUGAGAGGAAGGUCCCCCACACUGGUACUGAGACACGGACCAGACUCCUACGGGAGGCAGCAGUGAGGAAUAUUGGUCAAUGGUCGGGAGACUGAACCAGCCAAGCCGCGUGAGGGAUGAAGGUACAGAGUAUCGUAAACCUCUUUUGUCAGGGAACAAAGGCGGGGACGUGUCCCCGGAUGAGUGUACCUGAAGAAAAAGCAUCGGCUAACUCCGUGCCAGCAGCCGCGGUAAUACGGAGGAUGCGAGCGUUAUCCGGAUUUAUUGGGUUUAAAGGGUGCGCAGGCGGUCUGUUAAGUCAGCGGUCAAAGCCCGGGGCUCAACCCCGGCCCGCCGUUGAAACUGGCAGUCUCGAGUUGGAGAGAAGUAUGCGGAAUGCGCGGUGUAGCGGUGAAAUGCAUAGAUAUCGCGCAGAACUCCGAUUGCGAAGGCAGCAUGCCGGCUCCACACUGACGCUGAGGCACGAAAGCGUGGGUAUCGAACAGGAUUAGAUACCCUGGUAGUCCACGCAGUAAACGAUGACUGCAGGGUGUCCGGG
rnacentral:rRNA from 1 species